rnacentral:rRNA from 1 species
GUAGGUGGCAAGCGUUGUCCGGAAUUAUUGGGCGUAAAGCGCGCGCAGGCGGUCCUUUAAGUCUGAUGUGAAAGCCCACGGCUCAACCGUGGAGUGUCAUUGGAAACUGGGGGACUUGAGUACAGAAGGGGAAAGCGGAAUUCCAAGUGUAGCGGUGAAAUGCGUAGAGAUUUGGAGGAACACCAGUGGCGAAGGCGGCUUUCUGGUCUGUAACUGACGCUGAGGCGCGAAAGCGUGGGGAGCAAACAGGGAUUAGAUACCCUGGUAGUCCACGCCGUAAACGAUGAGUGCUAAGUGUUAGGGGGUUUCCGCCCCCUUAGUGCUGCAGCUAACGCAUUAAGCACUCCGCCUGGGGAUACGGCCGCAAGGCUG